AAGAAAGAUUCAUCAUUUCUCAUUCAAUCUUUUCAAGUCGACAUACAUGAAUUAAAAAAAUAAAAAAUUAUACGACCUGCCAUGUAUGUACAACAAUUACAACUCUACACUCUCACCAUAAGAGGGGGAAAACACAAUACCCCCACUUAAAGAGUGAAACCACUAUAUUUCUUUUCCUUUCUUUGUUCAAAGCUCAACAUAUAGCAACAACACUGACCUUAAACUGAGAAUGAAACUGGUGAUGAU
rnacentral:misc_RNA from 1 species